rnacentral:lncRNA from 10 species
AUUUUUCACAACUUACUAGGGGUGCACUCUCCUUGUCUCCAUGACCUUUGGAGGCAUCAUUUGAUCAUUGGCCCUACUGCAUAGGUGAAGAAAUAAAGACCCAGAGAUGUGAAGUGACUUGCCCAAGGCCUCUCGACUGAGUGCCUGCAUCUCAGAGUGCAAAUCCAUGAAGACUUUAUAAAGGCUGUAUGGAGAAGGAGUUUCAGCUGACUUCAGAUGCACUGUGCUGCGUCUUCUGCAUUUGGGACCUUGCCUGUAUCCAGCUCUCGGAUGGUGGUGACCAGGGAUGUUUUGAGUUCUCCAGCCUCAUUCCUCGUCUGCCUCCUUAGGAGGCAGUUCUCCCAGGGGCAGAAGACCUGCCCCUCCUCCUUCCCCAAGGUGAGCUGAGGCCAUCCUGCCCCCAAGCAGCACACUUCUCCAGGAGGAAAGCAUAAAUUACCCAU